rnacentral:rRNA from 1 species
UACGUAGGGGGCGAGCGUUGUCCGGAUUUAUUGGGCGUAAAGAGCUCGUAGGCGGUUCGAUAAGUCGGACGUGAAAUCUCCACGCUCAACGUGGAGGGGCCGUUCGAUACUGUCGUGACUCGAGUCCGGUAGGGGAGUGUGGAAUUCCCGGUGUAGCGGUGAAAUGCGCAGAGAUCGGGAGGAACACCCGUAGCGAAGGCGGCUCACUGGGCUGACCUUGACGCUGAGGCGCGAAGGCGUGGGGAGCGAACGGG